CUGGCACUGAGGCAGCUCUCUGAGUACUUUCCCCCUAAGAUGACUGGGAUAGAUUCCAGACAUGGAGUUACUUUAUCAAAGUCUUUUUACAGCAAAUGUUUUUCCAAGAGUUUAUAUAAAUUUUCAGAACCAUCAAGAUAUAUGUUAGUACUCAUUUUACUACAUUCUCACCAGCACCAAAUAAAACAGCAAUCACAAAAAUAACUUUGCCAAUCAGCAACAUGGAUGGACCCUAGAAAUUACCAUACUAAGUGAAGAUGAUUCAGUGCUGAAAGCAAAUAAAAAUCAAGUUCUCGUACAUGAUGACAACUGGCUCCCUCUAUUGAACCGUGGUGAGGAAACUAAGGACCAAGAUGGGAGCUGCAAACUGAAGCCUCAGGGACAGAGAGAUCUGGACAGAAUCGCUGGACAGGUGGCAGCUGCCAACAAGAAGCAUUAGUUAAUAAAUUGCCUCAUUCAUUAAAAAAAAAAAAUCAAGUUCUCAACACAGAAAAUAUCUUCUAAUUUUUUCAACAUUUUGUUUACUUCUAUCAAACUUAGAAAAAGUAGUUUGGCAUCCACUCUAAGUCCAGUUAACCCUUUGUUUGAUUCUUCACACUUGAGUAAGACCCAUCUUCCUUUGGUACAUUUCCAUUAGGGGCAUUGU